rnacentral:rRNA from 1 species
CGAAUGGCUCAUUAUAUAAGUUAUCGUUUAUUUGAUAGUACCUUACUACUUGGAUAACCGUGGUAAUUCUAGAGCUAAUACAUGCUAAAAAUCCCGACUCCGGAAGGGAUGUAUUUAUUAGAUUAAAAACCAAUGCCCUCUGGGCUCCUUGGUGAUUCAUGAUAACUCUUCGAAUCGCACGGCCUUGCGCCGGCGAUGGUUCAUUCAAAUUUCUUCCCUAUCAACUUUCGAUGUUUGGGUAUUGGCCAAACAUGGUAGCAACGGGUAACGGAGGGUUAGGGCUCGACCCCGGAGAAGGAGCCUGAGAAACGGCUACUACAUCCAAGGAAGGCAGCAGGCGCGCAAAUUACCCAAUCCCGAUUCGGGGAGGUAGUGACAAUAAAUACUGAUACAGGGCUCUUUUGGGUCUUGUAAUUGGAAUGAGUACAAUUUAAAUCCCUUAACGAGGAACAAUUGGAGGGCAAGUCUGGUGCCAGCAGCCGCGGUAAUUCCAGCUCCAAUAGCGUAUAUUAAAGUUGUUGUGGUUAAAAAGCUCGUAGUUGAACCUUGGGCCUGGCUGGCCGGUCCGCCUCACCGCGUGCACUGGUCCGGCCGGGCCUUUCCCUCUGUGGAACCCCAUGCCCUUCACUGGGCGUGGCGGGGAAACAGGACGUUUACUUUGAAAAAAUUAGAGUGCUCCAGGCAGGCCUAUGCUCGAAUACAUUAGCAUGGAAUAAUGAAAUAGGACGCGUGGUUCUAUUUUGUUGGUUUCUAGGACCGCCGUAAUGAUUAAUAGGGACAGUCGGGGGCAUCAGUAUUCAAUUGUCAGAGGUGAAAUUCUUGGAUUUAUUGAAGACUAACUACUGCGAAAGCAUUUGCCAAGGAUGUUUUCAUUAAUCAGGAACGAAAGUUAGGGGAUCGAAGACGAUCAGAUACCGUCGUAGUCUUAACCAUAAACUAUGCCGACUAGGGAUCGGAG